ACUGCCAAACACCCGCUAGGCCGGACUUUUAAUCCGUUGGUCACAAGUUCGAAUCUUGUACGUCCUACCA
rnacentral:tRNA from 1 species